rnacentral:rRNA from 1 species
UUAUUUGAGAGUUUGAUCCUGGCUCAGGAUGAACGCUGGCGGCGUGCCUAACACAUGCAAGUUGAGCGAUUUACUUCGGUAAAGAGCGGCGGACGGGUGAGUAACGCGUGGGUAACCUACCCUGUACACACGGAUAACAUACCGAAAGGUAUGCUAAUACGGGAUAACAUAUUUGAGAGGCAUCUCUUGAAUAUCAAAGGUGAGCCAGUACAGGAUGGACCCGCGUCUGAUUAGCUAGUUGGUAAGGUAACGGCUUACCAAGGCGACGAUCAGUAGCCGACCUGAGAGGGUGAUCGGCCACAUUGGAACUGAGACACGGUCCAAACUCCUACGGGAGGCAGCAGUGGGGAAUAUUGCACAAUGGGCGAAAGCCUGAUGCAGCAACGCCGCGUGAGUGAUGAAGGCCUUCGGGUCGUAA